UCUUUUUAAUUGUUAGUUAUAUUUUUUCAAUGUAAUUGUCUGCACAUUAUGAAAAGCUUCAUUCAUUCGUUGGUUUAGGCGUGUGUAUGGACAGGCUAAUAUGUAUGUCGUCAGAUAGACUUCGGUCUCUUCACAAUAAGUGCUCAAUAAGAGAACAUCAUUAAAGUUGGUCAAAUCUGUAUUUGUAUAAUGUUCCACUGAAACGCUGUCAAAGUCUUACACGAGUGUUCCCCGGUAUUUUGAUGGCAGAUGCGUUUACAUGCAGCUCUGAGUUGAAAGGGAGCCGUCCUGCGUGGUGUAAUGUGAGUCUGACGCUGCACCGCCCAGAGUGUGUGGUAUUUUCCUCUGCAGCCCUGCAUAGCAGCGUUGCUGUCGGGUCGAUAAGAGAUGUUCAAAUCUUUUACAUGAAAAAUAGACUUCACAAACACUCUUCACAGCUUUAAAAUACGCAGUGACUUCAUUUUAACGCGAAUUCAACGCUGUUUCGGUCAUGCCUCGUCAUUCUGCUUGGCUCUUGGUAGCUGCCCUGUCUAUGCUUGUUUUGAAAGGGUUAGCCUUUGAUGAUGAUUUUAACCUUGAAGAUGCCCUUGUUGAUACACCUACAAAACCACCUGCUCCAAAACCUAAGCCAGCCGGGGGCCCUUCAGGUGGAUCUAAAGGUACGCCUCCGCGGUGAACAAUGUGUCUCUGUGUGUGUGUGUCUCUCUUGCCCUGUUUACACGAGCCACUUUUAAGUCAGCUUUGAGGCAG